GUGACUGAGUGGCGGACGGGUGAGUAACGCGUGGGUAACCUGCCCUAUACAGGGGGAUAACAGUUGGAAACGGCUGCUAAUACCGCAUAAGCGCACAGCCUCGCAUGAAGCAGUGUGAAAAACUCCGGUGGUAUAGGAUGGACCCGCGUCUGAUUAGGUAGUUGGUGGGGUAACGGCCUACCAAGCCGACGAUCAGUAGCCGACCUGAGAGGGUGACCGGCCACAUUGGGACUGAGACACGGCCCAAACUCCUACGGGAGGCAGCAGUGGGGGAUAUUGCACAAUGGGGGAAACCCUGAUGCAGCGACGCCGCGUGAGCGAAGAAGUAUUUCGGUAUGUAAAGCUCUAUCAGCAGGGAAGAAGAAAUGACGGUACCUGACUAAGAAGCUCCGGCUAAAUACGUGCCAGCAGCCGCGGUAAUACGUAUGGAGCAAGCGUUAUCCGGAUUUACUGGGUGUAAAGGGAGCGUAGGCGGCGAGAUAAGUCUGAUGUGAAAGCCCGGGGCUCAACCCCGGGACUGCAUUGGAAACUGUCUUGCUGGAGUGUCGGAGGGGUAAGUGGAAUUCCUAGUGUAGCGGUGAAAUGCGUAGAUAUUAGGAGGAACACCGGUGGCGAAGGCGGCUUACUGGACGAUCACUGACGCUGAGGCUCGAAAGCGUGGGGAGCAAACAGGAUUAGAUACCCUGGUAGUCCACGCUGUAAACGAUGAAUACUAGGUGUUGGUGCCCACAGGGCAUCGGUGCCGCAGCAAACGCAAUAAGUAUUCCACCUGGGGAGUACGUUCGCAAGAAUGAAACUCAAAGGAAUUGACGGGGACCCCCCACAAGCGGUGGAGCAUGUGGUUUAAUUC
rnacentral:rRNA from 1 species